rnacentral:tRNA from 2 species
GCCCAGUUGGUGGAAUCGGCAGACACACUAGGCUUAGAACCUAGCGCCGCGAGGCAUGGGGGUUCGACUCCCUCACUGGGCACCA